UACGUAGGGGGCAAGCGUUAUCCGGAUUUACUGGGUGUAAAGGGAGCGUAGACGGCAUAGCAAGUCUGAAGUGAAAGCCCAAGGCUCAACCAUGGGACUGCUUUGGAAACUGUUAAGCUAGAGUGCUGGAGAGGUAAGCGGAAUUCCUAGUGUAGCGGUGAAAUGCGUAGAUAUUAGGAAGAACACCAGUGGCGAAGGCGGCUUACUGGACAGUAACUGACGUUGAGGCUCGAAAGCGUGGGGAGCAAAUAGG
rnacentral:rRNA from 1 species